UACGGGGGGAGCAAGCGUUGUUCGGAUUUACUGGGCGUAAAGGGCGGGUAGGCGGCCACCGCAAGUGGACUGUGAAAUCUCCGGGCUUAACCCGGAAAGGUCAGCCGAUACUGCGGGGCUAGAGUGCAGAAGGGGCAACUGGAAUUCUCGGUGUAGCGGUGAAAUGCGUAGAUAUCGAGAGGAACACCUGCGGCGAAGGCGGGUUGCUGGGCUGACACUGACGCUGAACUGCGAAAGCUAGGGGAGCGAACGGG
rnacentral:rRNA from 1 species